rnacentral:rRNA from 1 species
AACGCGAAGAACCUUACCUGGGCUUGAACCGCACAGGACCAGCCGUAGAAAUAUGGCCUUCCCGCAAGGGACCUGUGUAGAGGUGCUGCAUGGCUGUCGUCAGCUCGUGCCGUGAGGUGUUGGGUUAAGUCCCGCAACGAGCGCAACCCUUACUCUUAGUUGCCACCCGCAAGGGGGAACUCUAGGAGGACUGCUCCGGAUAACGGAGAGGAAGGUGGGGAUGACGUCAAGUCAGCAUGGCCUUUAUGUCCAGGGCUACACACGUGUUACAAUGCGCGGUACAAACCGUCGCGAACCUGCGAAGGGGAGCUAAUCGGAAAAAACUGCGCUCAGUUCGGAUUGCAGUCUGCAACUCGACUGCAUGAAGCCGGAAUCGCUAGUAAUGGCGUAUCAGAACGACGCCGUGAAUACGUUCCCGGGCCUUGUACACACCGCACUACUA